rnacentral:lncRNA from 1 species
UCUUCUCCAUCUUCUUCUUGCAAUAAUUCAUUCGUCACGAGUGUACAGCAUACAGCGCCGACUUUAGCAAGUAGUUGAAUGUACUGCUUUUCUUCUAUCACAUAGUAAAUUUUUCAAACCAAAUUUACCAGAACUUCUUGAUCUUCACUUUUCCUUUUUCUGUUUUAUUUUAUAUUUUACCUUCUUCUAUUUUUAUUUCCACUUAGGGUGAUGUAAUGUAACAGUCGAAACCACGUUACGAAUCCAUUUGGAUAUUUGAAACUAUUCUUGGAAAUGUGAAUUCAUUGUUAAGAACUUCUCUUGAAACUUUUCUUAAGAAUGAACAGUACUAUGUUCCAGUUUGUUAUUCAUAUAUUCAUUUUCUAUAAUCACACCACACUCAAAACAGAAAUCGUACAUUUACGUAAAGGCAAAGGAGAGAGAUAAAGAAGAACACUUGAGGAGACGAUAUCAGCAACUAAAACAUUAUUCUGAAAACGGAGAAACUGAUGAAAUGAAAAGUAAACAGAUCCGAUGAAAAAGAAAGAUGGUUUAGAGAAGUCUUACAAAGUAUGUGUGUACGUAUUUCGUUGUAUUUUGUGACAAACAAGGUAAGUACAGAAACAAACAUAAUAGUAGGCCAUUAUGACAUUACUCCCUUUGUCUUUACUAAAUGAGCUUAGUUUUAUAAUCUCAAUGGUCUAACAUGAUCCAUUAGUUUAACAUUUGUGUUGUACAAGGACUUGGUUUAGGUUAAAUAAUGAUUUUUUAAAUCAUGAUCAGCAGAACACGUAGCAACAACUUUACCAGUUACGUUAAAGAUAAAAGGAGCAUAGUUUAGUAUGAUUGACAUAACAUAUUGCAGGAAGAGAAAAAAAUACAUCACUUAUUUCAUUGAACAACUGUUGAACAGGAUCAUUCUCUCUGCAUCAAGCAUUUUUAUUUAGAACCAGCACAGUCAAAUGAGACAAUACAAGUCACACGAGGGUGUGACAACUUUCGAACUUGGAAAUGUUAAGUUUGUUUUAAUUCUCCGAUAAAACAAAAGUUCAUACGUCAAAUAAAACUUAUAAUACUAAGCCAUGCUAACUCGUUCAUUUGCCAGCCUCACAUAAUGGACUAAUAAAGAGCCUACAAGUGACAUAAUCACCGAGAAGCUUUUAACAUUAAAUUUUGUCAUAUCUUUAAUCAACUAUGCCUCAAUCAUCCUCGAGCUAUUAUCAAGUGAAUUUGACACAUUAAAUAGAGCUAGAUGAUGUGAGGUCAAAAAUAUAUAUUUUUAAUCAUUAUUUGCCUCACAUUAAUUAUUUAUAUAUGUCUUUUUUGAGCAUAAAUGUUAUGGAUUGUGCUAAAUAGUAUAUUUUAUUUGUAGGAGUAAAUUAGUGUGAAGUUGAAGAAGUUUGGAGCUUAAACGAAUUAAAGAUGAAAGAUUAUAGAAGAAAAUCAAGCAGUCAGUUUAAUAGAUUAAAUUCUGUAUAAAAUAUAAAGUUGCAAAGUUCAAUUGAAAAAGAGAAUCCUUCCCCGUGGCAGCAAUGGAAGACACCUUCAGAUUGUUUGAAGCAGCGGCUGAGGCGGUUACCGAAUACGCGUGGAAUUAGGAAAUUCAAAUUCUGUUUGGUUUUGAUUUUCUAGUUUAUUUUGGAAUCAAUUAUUUUAUUUAAGAUUUUCUACAUCUAUAAAUAGUUCACAGAAAUAAUUAUUAGAGGAGAUCAAUAAGGAGAAACUUUACAAGAAAAAGUUGUCAAUAUUUUUUAGGGUUAUUUUCUUUUUCUUUCUUUUCCUAGAGAUUAGUGGCGAAACACCCUUGUUCUGGGGCUGUAGCUACAAAUCGAAGGUUGAAUAUUUAAGGUUUAUGAAUUAAUUCUUGGUUGUCAUUAUAAGUUACUUCUAUAUUCUUGUUUUAGUAUUUUAUGCUUGCGCACCAUAAGAUAAAUCUAUUGUCUAAUCUUGAAAUUGAGAGAGGAGGGGUUAGAUAGACUAGAGAAUAUAGAGAGCUCGGUCGACCCAUUUGAUUGAGGUGAUUAGUGUUCAGGAGUGACACCCGGACGAACAACUUGCUUGGUUACGAAAUAAGAUGAAAUAUAAAUGUUCGUCAGUUAGUCUAUUUAUCCCCGCUUAACGAUAUAGUUAGAUAACUAACUGGAGUAGGCGAUGAGAGGUGUGUAGCCUGACUCAUACAAUUAAGCCUAUAAACCAGUAACUUGACAACUAAAAUUAGUUCUAAGCAAAGAAUAUGAUACAUGAGAUUCAUUGCAUGUUGCAUCCCUUGAAUUUGCCCAAUCACUGUAAGUAAUCUUAUUAUUUAAUUCCUACAUUCUUUUCUUUAUAAAUAAAAAGUCAAACUCUUUUAGCACUCUUAAAUAAACAAUUAGACUAGUAUAAUUUAGUAAAUAGUUAAUUGACAAGUCCUUUGGGUUCAAUAAUCUUUUUAAGAGCCACUAUGUUAUUUGCGCGACCACGUACACUUGCGUGUGCAAUUGGGAGCAAUAAGUUUUUGGCGCCACUGCCGGGGACUUAGAAAUUGAUUUAUAUUUAAUCUUCUUAAGUCUACAAAUAAAAUAUUCAGGUAUUAAUUACUUGAUCUUAGCUUGUAUAUUGCAAACAAUUGACUUUCAGGUCUGGCUAGGAAAGGAGAACUUGUCGAACCUUACAACGAACCCGAAAGAGUCUUACGCCAGCGCAGGAAAAUGGCUAAUCAAGGACGACAUGGAGAAUUGGGGUUAGGUCUUCAAGAAGACAAUGAGAACAAUAAUCAAGACAAUGUGAAUAACCCCGGGAACUUGAACAACUAAGCGGUAUCCCCUGUAGUACCUGCAAGACCAGUCCGUGAUGUGGCAGUCCCACUCACAGCCAAUGUGGCAUCUAGUAUUAGGAAACCUCCACUGGGGGUAGAUUUGAACUAAAACAGGGCAUGAUACAACUUCUCCAUUCUAAUGGGCAAUUCACUGAUCUCCCUCACGAGGAUCCUCAAAUCCACAUUAGGAACUUUAUCACUGACAUACAUCCCAACUGGAGUCUCAUCGGACUAUGUGAGGCUGACGUUGUUUCCAUACUCAUUGUUAGGAGCUGCAAAGCAUUAGUUAGAUACUGAACCACCAAACUCCAUCACUACCUGGGAUUACCUAGCAAGAAAGCUCUUGAGUCGAUUCUUUCCAUCCAAGAAAACUGCACGGUUGAGGAGAGAGAUAUUAUGCUUUAGGCAAAAUCAAGGGGAGGAAAUGUACCAAGCAUGGGCUCGUUUCAAACAAAUAUUGAAUGCUUGCCCGCACCACAUGCAAACUAGUGAGGUACUUGCUCACACUUUCUUUGAGGGUUUAGAUUAUAAUGCUCGUGUACUUUUUAAUAAUGCAGCAGGUGGACAGGCCCUAGCUAAAACAUGUGAAGAGUUGUUCGACUUACUCAACAGACUCUCCGAAGGGAACCCAGGAUAUGAGGGGGAAAUGCCGAGAACCACAACCCAAAAGGCCGCAGGGACCUUAGAUGUAGAUCAAGCUACUGCCAUAAAUGCCAAAUUAGAUGUUAUGCAACAUAACAUAGCCUUACAUUUUAAACAGAUGGCUCUAAAUGAUGCACCGGUAAACGUUGUGCAACACGCAGCCAAUUGGUGUGAGGUAUGUGUAGUGGAGCUCAUGAAAUCGAGCAAUGUGAGGUAAACCCGAAUUCCGUAAACUAUAUGGGUAAUGCGCAAAGGGGUGAAGGUCAGCAAAAUUAUAGUAACACCUACAACCCUAGUUGGAGGAACCAUCCUAACUUCUCAUGAGGUGGGAAUCAAAACCAAAAUCAGGCGCAAGGGGCUAACCAAUACCGUUCUCAAGGGGCUGGGCAACAAUACCAGAAUCCUAACCAAGGCGCAAAUCCUAGUGCACCAAAGGGGGGAUGACCAAUGAAGAGCUACUCCAAAAGCUCAUGACUAAAAUAGGGACCAAACUAAAUGCUAUAAUAGAUAAGCAGGAUGAGAACAUCAAAAACAUCCAAAUGUCCCAAAUGAGUUUAAAGAAACAAGUUGCGCAAGUAGCUAAUUCUCUGAACUUGCGUCCCCAAGGUGGGCUACUCAGUGAUACUGAACCCAACCCAAAGCAAUUGCAUGCGGUAAGUACUAGAAGUGGGUUACAAUUAGAGGAACAAGCUCUAAAGAAGAGAGAUACUGAGGCAAGUACCAAAGAAAAGAAAGUGGAAGAGGUAGUAAAAAGCUCCAAUGUUGAGGUACCCAUUCCUCAAAAGAAAUUACCACCUCCGUUUCCACAAAGGCUCAAAAAGAAGAAUGAUGAUGAAUGCUUAGGUAAGUUUCUCUCUCUCCUUAAACAGGUUCAUAUUAAUUUGCCUUUGGUUGACAUUUUGCACGGUAUCCCGAAGUAUGCUAAAUACAUGAAGGACAUUGUGGCUAGCAAGAGGAGGCUCACGGAGUAUGAAACUGUAGCACUUACUGAGGAGUGCAGCUCUAGAAUUUAAAAUAGACUACCCAAAAAGUUAAAAGAUCCAGGUAGUUUUACUGUGCAGAUUACAAUUGAGCAAAGUGUUCAUGCCUGCGGGUUGUGUAAUUUGGGGGCAAGUAUAAAUCUAAUGCCCUUAUCAUUAUAUCAAAAGCUUAGGUUGGGUAGUCCAAAACGAACCACUGUUAUUCUCCAACUCGCUAAUAGAUCCAUUGCUAGGCCAGAGGGGGUGGUAGAAGAUGUGUUAGUGCAAGUAGGUUCGUUGAUUUUUCCGGUGGAUUUUGUGGUCUUAGAUUUUGAAGCCGAUUCUGAAGUUCCAUUUAUUUUGGGACGUCCGUUCUUGGCCACGGGUAGGGCAUUGAUUGAUGUAGCAGCUGGUCAAUUAACUAUGAGGGCACAUGAUAAAGUAGAGAUAUUCGAUGUUUAUCGCGCUUUAAAAUUGCCUUCUAUCUAUGAAGAGUUGUCUGUUAUUACUGUGAUUGAUCACAUAGUAGAAUCACAAGUAGUUGUGCCUGAAGAUCCCUUAGAGAGAGUUUUAGUAGGUCAUGAGGUGGAUGGAGAUACUGAGGAUCAAGAGAUAGAAUCAUGUUUGAAUCUAGCACUUGUUGGCACUCGUAAGCUUCGAGCAGAGUCACUAGAUCGUAAGUUAGAACCCCCACCAAAGCCAUCAAUAGAAGAAGCGCCCAAGCUGGAACUAAAAACUUUGUCGUCUCACCUAAGGUAUGCUUAUUUGGGUGAAUGAAACUUUGCAUGUUAUACUUUCUGCAGAAUUGUCUGAAUUACAGGUUGAUGCGGCAUUGAGGAUCUUAAAGCGGAGAAAAGAAAGUGAUUGGAUGGCAGAUGGCUGAUAUUCAUGGGAUUAGUCCUGCGUUAUGUAUGCACAGAAUCUACAUGGAAAAUGAUCACAAACCAAGUGCACAACAUCAACGUCGGCUAAAUCCUUUGAUGAAAGAAGUGGUAAGAAAGGAAGUAAUAAAGUGGCUAGAUGCUGGAAUUGUGUACCCAAUCUCAUAUAGUAAGUGGAUAAGUCCCUUGCAAUGUGUUCCCAAGAAGGGAGGUAUGACAGUGGUAAGAAACGAAAAGAAUGAGUUGAUUCCUACUAAAACAGUGAUCGGUUAGAGAAGUUGUAUGGAUUACUAGAAACUUAAUGAUGCCACCCGAAAAGAUCACUACCCGGUUCCCUGCAUUGAUCAGAUGCUUGACCGACUAGCAGGGCAGGAGUACUAUUUUUUCUUAGAUGGGUAUUCCGAUUACAACCAGAUCUUGAUUGCACCCAAGGAUCAGGAAAAGACCACGUUCACUUGUCCUUAUGGUACCUAUGCUUUCAAACACAUACCAUUCGGACUUUGCAAUGCACCAACAACUUUUCAAAGGUGUAUGAUGGCCAUUUUUCAUGAUAUGGUAGAAAACUUUGUAGAGGUGUUCAUGGAUGAUUUCUCCGUCUUUGGAAAGUCUUUUGAGGUAUGUCUCCGGAAUCUUGAUAAAAUACUUGCUAGAUGUGAGGACACUAACUUAGUUUUAAAUUGGGAAAAGUGUCAUUUUUUUGUUAGAGAGGGGAUAGUGUUGGGUCACAAGGUGUCGAAGUCGGGUUUAGAGGUUGAUAAGGCCAAGGUAGAAUUUAUUGAAAAAUUGCCCCCUCCCAUUUCUAUAAAAGGGGUGCGUAAUUUUCUUGGUCAUGCAGGUUUCUACCGGCGAUUCAUCAAGGAUUUUUCCAAGAUUGCAAGACCUAUGCGCAGUCUUUUGGAGAAGGAGGUGAAGUUUGACUUUGAUGAGAUGUGCUUGAAAGCUUUUGAGAUAUUGAAGAGGAACUUAAUUGAGGCUCCCAUCUUAAUUGCUCCUGAUUGGGGACUACCAUUUGAACUCAUGUGUGAUGCAAGCGACAUAGCAGUGGGUGCAGUGUUGGGACAAAGAAAGAAUAAAGUGUUCCACUUGAUCUAUUAUGCAAGCAAGACCCUUGACUCUACACAAGCUAAUUACACAGUGACUGAGAAGGAGAUGCUAGCUUUAGUGUUCGCCUUCGACAAGUUCAGAUCAUAUUUGGUAGGUACUAAAGUGAUGUUUUACUGACCAUGCAGCUAUUAGGUACCUAUUCAACAAGAAGGAUGCUAAACCAAGGCUGAUUCGCAGAACGCGGAACAAUAUGGACAUGUAAUUGAGGUACAUGGUAAAAUCUGUGGUUCAGCACCGUGUGGAUUCUCAGAUGUUAAUACCAUGUCUAAGGAUGCACAGGAGAGAUCAGCAUCGAUGAGGAAACUGUGCGUUGCAGUUGUCCUUUGCAUCAUUUUUAUGGCUGUCGAGGUUGUCGGAGGUAUUAAAGCCAACAGUCUUGCAAUUUUGACAGAUGCAGCAGCUGAAUAAAAACUAUCAAACACCAGUAUAUAUAAGACAGUAAAAUAAUAAAAGUAUCUUACAUAAAACGAACACGCAGAAGUAAGUACAUAUAAAGAACAAAACAGCAUGUGCAGACAUAAUAAGCAAAAGACUGCAGCCAAGACAAAAACAGAUCAUAGGAAAAAACGCUAGUUUCAUUGAUAGUACGGUAAUAACAUGCACAAGAACUUGUUGAAUUCUAGAGAAUCCUUUUUUUCACCCUUGAUGCUAUCAAAUUCCCUAAGCUGGGCACAUAACUCAGUACUUACUACUAUCUCUAUAUAAAUCCUCAAACACAUAUACAGAAUUUUAAGAACGAUUAUACUUCAUACAAAACCACAUUGCAUCACUAAAGAAAGAGGAGAGAGAAGAGAAUGGCCACUGUAGCAGCUGCAAUGAUGCUUCAGUGUGUCUUUGACGGAAGCUUGUCGAUGUCAGACAUGAAUAUCGAGAGACGACCUUACCAUAAAAACUGCAGUUGUGCAUUGCACAAGCAGAAAGGGGAAAAUCCAACCACUUGUGUCCACAGUAGGUAUAUAUCAUUCCCCAAAAGGCAAAACCAGAAAGAUAUGACAUUGUCAAUAGCAGCUUCUCAAUUCUCUUCUCCAUCUUCUUCUUGCAAUAAUUCAUUCGUCACGAGUGUACAGCAUACAGCGCCGACUUUAGCAAGUAGUUGAAUGUACUGCUUUUCUUCUAUCACAUAGUAAAUUUUUCAAACCAAAUUUACCAGAACUUCUUGAUCUUCACUUUUCCUUUUUCUGUUUUAUUUUAUAUUUUACCUUCUUCUAUUUUUAUUUCCACUUAGGGUGAUGUAAUGUAACAGUCGAAACCACG